CCGCCCCUCAUCUCCUUUCUCUCUUUCUCUUUCAAACACAGGUGAAGAACGUGAGAAUAUUCAUGAUGUGAAACAGAGUAGCCCUUUGAGAGCAACGCAUGCAAAUCAAUCCUUUUGGAAGGAGAGAGUUUCAAUUGAUACUGUUACGCGCCCUUUUGAACCAGAGGAGUUAAAUAAGAAAAUUCCUUCCUUGAUUACUAAGGUUGUAGAACCUACAAAAAGGAAGGAAGAACUCUUUCAAUUGAAAGCACGUUAUCGAGAUUUUCAAUCGCAAAGUGGUUGCCCUUGCUCAAUUUGUGUGUCAGACCUUGAUGCUGUGACUCUAGCAUUACUCAAUCUAGCAGUCCGGAAGACGGUUGAGUGGUAGGUAUUUCUUCCUUGCUUUGAUAGCAUUUAAUUGCCUUGCCUCCACUAUUUUGUGCUUUGUUUGAUUGUGAAGUAAAAUAUGCGCAACAAAGAAAAAAAAAAUGUUAUGGUUGACUAUGGUUGAUGUUGUUGCGCUAUUGUGUUCUAUAAAUUGAGGUUCUGUAAAUACAUUAGGUUGUAAAUGUGGUGGAGAUUAUGAGUUGUAAACUUUCGAAUGAAGAAUUAGAACAAAUGAGGAUAUGGGUGCCUUUAUCAUGUUUUGAAGAUAAUCACAACAUCAACAAUGAGGCCAAAUUAAUUGACACUGAAGGCAGUAUAAGCAUUGCAAAUCAAUCUGGAAUGGUGGAUAUCAAUAGUGGAGCCUAUGCUGCAGGGCCUUUGGUGUUGAGAAGGGCAUGUGGCUGCCCCAAGUUGUAGGCCAUGGAUUUGGUUACAAAACCUUCUUUGUUGGAGUUUCCAUUCUUGCCAGGAGGUGCUGCUUGCUUUCUCCUGUCCUUGGGUGUGUGCUUUGCAAGAGUUUUGCUAUGGUGAGUCUUGGUUUUUCUGCUAGUUGGGGAUUGAAGCUUUUGCUAGAUUUCCUCGAGGGUGGCUGGAGUUUUGAGACUUUUUGGCUAUGGACCUCUAUGUGUGGACUUUGCAGUUUGCUUUGUGCCCAGACGACUUGCUUUUUCAUUGCUGACCUUUUUUGUCUAGUAUUUCUUAGACUAACUACAUGUUUUGUUAAGACUUUAAU